CACAGGAGAGGAGGAGCAAGUCUAGCGUGCCCCGCCCCGAGCUGCAACCCCUCCUCUGAGUGGCUGGUCCCUCUCUCGCUGUGCACUGAGAUUCUCCAGCGUAGAAGGGUUGGGUUUGGCCCCUGAGAACUACUGUAGCUGCAGAAUGAGGCCUCCGUGGAAGACUGAGGAAAGAGCACCUGAUGAACCGCCGGGGUGUGUGCUCACGUCUACUGUCAGCUUAGUUCUCUGGACCCUGUGGAGAGGAAGCAGAGCCUAUGUAUACUGAAGACCAGCGGAGACAUCCAGCCUCGUGGACUGAACAACUAUUGGAUUCUCGACUUUAUGUUAGAGACAGCCAUUGUUGGACUGGCUGGACCAGAGCCUGUAAGCCACUCUAAUAAAUCAUAUAUAUGCAUGAUAAAUACUAUAACAAUAAACCGUA